rnacentral:misc_RNA from 1 species
GAUGAAGAACGUAGCGAAAUGCGAUACUUGGUGUGAAUUGCAGAAUCCCAUGAACCAUCGAGUCUUUGAACGCAAGUUGCGCCCGAAGCCAUUAGGCCGAGGGCACGCCUGCCUGGGCGUCACACGUCGUUGCCCCCCCAUCUACUCCUUCGGGAUUGCGGGGGGCGGAUGAUGGCCUCCCGUGCGCCUCGUCGCGCGGUUGGCAUAAAUGCCAAGUCCUCGGCGACGCACGCCACGACAAUCGGUGGUUGCGAAACCUCGGUUGCCCGUCGUGUGCGGUCGUCGCGCAUCGAGGGCUCGAAAAAAUUGCCGGGCUCCGGCUCGGCUUUCAACGCGACCCCAGGUCAGGCGGGGUUACCCGCUGAAUUUAAGCAUAUCAAUAAGCGGAGGA